GACGAACGCUGGCGGCGCGCCUAACACAUGCAAGUCGAACGGAGUCAAGAGGAGCUUGCUUUUCUUGACUUAGUGGCGAACGGGUGAGUAACGCGUGAGUAACCUGCCCUGGAGUGGGGGACAACAGUUGGAAACGACUGCUAAUACCGCAUAAGCCCACGGAUCUGCAUGGAUCUGCGGGAAAAGGAUUUAUUCGCUCUAGGAUGGACUCGCGUCCAAUUAGCUAGUUGGUGAGGUAACGGCCCACCAAGGCGACGAUUGGUAGCCGGACUGAGAGGUUGAACGGCCACAUUGGGACUGAGACACGGCCCAGACUCCUACGGGAGGCAGCAGUGGGGGAUAUUGCACAAUGGGGGAAACCCUGAUGUAGCGACGCCGCGUGGAGGAAGAAGGUUUUCGGAUUGUAAACUCCUGUCGUUAGGGACGAUAAUGACGGUACCUAACAAGAAAGCACCAGCUAACUACGUG
rnacentral:rRNA from 1 species